rnacentral:rRNA from 1 species
UAAGGAAUAUUGGUCAAUGGACGCAAGUCUGAACCAGCCAUGCCGCGUGGAGGAUGAAGGUCCUCUGGAUUGUAAACUUCUUUUAUCUGGGACGAAACACUCCUAUUCUUAGGGGCCUGACGGUACCAGAUGAAUAAGCACCGGCUAACUCCGUGCCAGCAGCCGCGGUAAUACGGAGGGUGCAAGCGUUAUCCGGAUUCACUGGGUUUAAAGGGUGCGUAGGUGGGUAUGUAAGUCAGUGGUGAAAUCCCCGAGCUUAACUUGGGAACUGCCGUUGAUACUAUAUAUCUUGCAUGCCGUAGAGGUAAGCGGAAUAUGUCAUGUAGCGGUGAAAUGCUUAGAGAUGACAUAGAACACCAAUUGCGAAGGCAGCUUACUAUGCGGUGAUUGACACUGAUGCACGAAAGCGUGGGUAGCAAACA